rnacentral:rRNA from 1 species
GAUGAACGCUGGCGGCGUGCUUAACACAUGCAAGUCGAACGGGAAUUACUUUAUUGAAACUUCGGUCGAUUUAAUUUAAUUCUAGUGGCGGACGGGUGAGUAACGCGUGGGUAACCUGCCUUAUACAGGGGGAUAACAGUCAGAAAUGGCUGCUAAUACCGCAUAAGCGCACAGAGCUGCAUGGCUCAGUGUGAAAAACUCCGGUGGUAUAAGAUGGACCCGCGUUGGAUUAGCUUGUUGGUGGGGUAACGGCCCACCAAGGCGACGAUCCAUAGCCGGCCUGAGAGGGUGAACGGCCACAUUGGGACUGAGACACGGCCCAGACUCCUACGGGAGGCAGCAGUGGGGAAUAUUGCACAAUGGGGGAAACCCUGAUGCAGCGACGCCGCGUGAAGGAAGAAGUAUCUCGGUAUGUAAACUUCUAUCAGCAGGGAAGAUAGUGACGGUAC